rnacentral:rRNA from 1 species
GGUUAAGCGACUAAGCGUACACGGUGGAUGCCCUGGCAGUCAGAGGCGAUGAAGGACGUGCUAAUCUGCGAAAAGCGUCGGUAAGGUGAUAUGAACCGUUACAGCCGGCGAUGUCCGAAUGGGGAAACCCAGUGCAAUUCGUUGCACUAUCGUUUGAUGAAUACAUAGUCAAACGAGGCGAACCGGGGGAACUGAAACAUCUAAGUACCCCGAGGAAAAGAAAUCAACCGAGAUUCCCCCAGUAGCGGCGAGCGAACGGGGAGCAGCCCGGAGUCUGAAUCAGCUUGUGUGUUAGUGGAAGCGUCUGGAAAGUCGCAGGGUACAGGGUGAUACUCCCGUACACUAAAACGCACAGGUUGUGAACUCGAAGAGUAGGGCGGGACACGUGGUAUCCUGUCUGAAUAUGGGGGGACCAUCCUCCAAGGCUAAAUACUCCUGACUGACCGAUAGUGAACCAGUACCGUGAGGGAAAGGCGAAAAGAACCCCGGCGAGGGGAGUGAAAAAGAACCUGAAACCGUGUACGUACAAGCAGUAGGAGCCCACUAGUUGGGUGACUGCGUACCUUUUGUAUAAUGGGUCAGCGACUUAUAUUCUGUAGCAAGGUUAACCGUAUAGGGGAGCCGCAGGGAAACCGAGUCUUAACUGGGCGUUAAGUUGCAGGGUAUAGACCCGAAACCCGGUGAUCUAGCCAUGGGCAGGUUGAAGGUUGGGUAACACUAACUGGAGGACCGAACCGACUAAUGUUGAAAAAUUAGCGGAUGACUUGUGGCUGGGGGUGAAAGGCCAAUCAAACCGGGAGAUAGCUGGUUCUCCCCGAAAGCUAUUUAGGUAGCGCCUCGUGAAUUCAUCUUCGGGGGUAGAGCACUGUUUCGGCUAGGGGGUCAUCCCGACUUACCAACCCGAUGCAAACUACGAAUACCGAAGAAUGUUAUCACGGGAGACACACGGCGGGUGCUAACGUCCGUCGUGAAGAGGGAAACAACCCAGACCGCCAGCUAAGGUCCCAAAGUCAUGGUUAAGUGGGAAACGAUGUGGGAAGGCCCAGACAGCCAGGAUGUUGGCUUAGAAGCAGCCAUCAUUUAAAGAAAGCGUAAUAGCUCACUGGUCGAGUCGGCCUGCGCGGAAGAUGUAACGGGGCUAAACCAUGCACCGAAGCUGCGGCAGCGACACUAUGUGUUGUUGGGUAGGGGAGCGUUCUGUAAGCCGUUGAAGGUGGCCUGUGAGGGUUGCUGGAGGUAUCAGAAGUGCGAAUGCUGACAUAAGUAACGAUAAUGCGGGUGAAAAACCCGCACGCCGGAAGACCAAGGGUUCCUGUCCAACGUUAAUCGGGGCAGGGUGAGUCGACCCCUAAGGCGAGGCCGAAAGGCGUAGUCGAUGGGAAACAGGUUAAUAUUCCUGUACUCGGUGUUACUGCGAAGGGGGGACGGAGAAGGCUAUGUUGGCCGGGCGACGGUUGUCCCGGUUUAAGCAUGUAGGCGGAUGUUCCAGGUAAAUCCGGAACGUUACUAACGCUGAGGUGUGAUGACGAGGCACUACGGUGCUGAAGUGACAAAUGCCCUGCUUCCAGGAAAAGCCUCUAAGCAUCAGGUAACAUCAAAUCGUACCCCAAACCGACACAGGUGGUCAGGUAGAGAAUACCAAGGCGCUUGAGAGAACUCGGGUGAAGGAACUAGGCAAAAUGGUGCCGUAACUUCGGGAGAAGGCACGCUGAUGGUAAGUGAAGUGACUUGCUCAUGGAGCUGAAAUCAGUCGAAGAUACCAGCUGGCUGCAACUGUUUAUUAAAAACACAGCACUGUGCAAACACGAAAGUGGACGUAUACGGUGUGACGCCUGCCCGGUGCCGGAAGGUUAAUUGAUGGGGUUAUCCGUAAGGAGAAGCUCUUGAUCGAAGCCCCGGUAAACGGCGGCCGUAACUAUAACGGUCCUAAGGUAGCGAAAUUCCUUGUCGGGUAAGUUCCGACCUGCACGAAUGGCGUAAUGAUGGCCAGGCUGUCUCCACCCGAGACUCAGUGAAAUUGAACUCGCUGUGAAGAUGCAGUGUACCCGCGGCAAGACGGAAAGACCCCGUGAACCUUUACUAUAGCUUGACACUGAACACUGGUCCUUGAUGUGUAGGAUAGGUGGGAGGCUUUGAAGUGUGGACGCCAGUCUGCAUGGAGCCAUCCUUGAAAUACCACCCUUUAAUGGCUGGUGUUCUAACGUGGGCCCCUAAUCGGGGUUGCGGACAGUGUCUGGUGGGUAGUUUGACUGGGGCGGUCUCCUCCUAAAGAGUAACGGAGGAGCACGAAGGUCAGCUAAUCCUGGUCGGACAUCAGGAGGUUAGUGCAAUGGCAUAAGCUGGCUUGACUGCGAGCGUGACGGCGCGAGCAGGUGCGAAAGCAGGUCAUAGUGAUCCGGUGGUUCUGAAUGGAAGGGCCAUCGCUCAACGGAUAAAAGGUACUCCGGGGAUAACAGGCUGAUACCGCCCAAGAGUUCAUAUCGACGGCGGUGUUUGGCACCUCGAUGUCGGCUCAUCACAUCCUGGGGCUGAAGUAGGUCCCAAGGGUAUGGCUGUUCGCCAUUUAAAGUGGUACGCGAGCUGGGUUUAGAACGUCGUGAGACAGUUCGGUCCCUAUCUGCCGUGGGCGCUGGAGAAUUGAGGGGGGCUGCUCCUAGUACGAGAGGACCGGAGUGGACGCAUCACUGGUGUUCGGGUUGUCAUGCCAAUGGCAUUGCCCGGUAGCUAAAUGCGGAAGAGAUAAGUGCUGAAAGCAUCUAAGCACGAAACUUGCCCCGAGAUGAGUUCUCCCUGACCCUUUAAGGGUCCUGAAGGAACGUUGAAGACGACGACGUUGAUAGGCCGGGUGUGUAAGCGCAGCGAUGCGUUGAGCUAACCGGUACUAAUGAACCGUGAGGCUUAACCUU